UACCAGCACCCCGAGUGGUCGGGACGUUUAUUGGGCUUAAAGCAUCCGUAGCCGGUUCUACAAGUCUUCCGUUAAAGCCCACGGCUUAACCGUGGGUCUGCGGUGGAUACGGGCAGACUAGAGGCAGGUAGGGGAGAAUGGAAUUCCCGGUGUAGCGGUGAAAUGCGCAGAUAUCGGGAGGAACACCGGUGGCGAAGGCGGUUCUCUGGGCCUGUACUGACGCUGAGGAGCGAAAGCGUGGGGAGCGAACAGG
rnacentral:rRNA from 1 species